rnacentral:rRNA from 1 species
GGCCAGACUCCUACGGGAGGCAGCAGUGGGGGAUAUUGCACAAUGGGGGAAACCCUGAUGCAGCGACGCCGCGUGAGUGAAGAAGUAUCUCGGUACGUAAAGCUCUAUCAGCAGGGAAGAAAAUGACGGUACCUGACCAAGAAGCCCCGGCUAACUACGUGCCAGCAGCCGCGGUAAUACGUAGGGGGCAAGCGUUAUCCGGAUUUACUGGGUGUAAAGGGAGCGUAGACGGCAGCACAAGUCUGGAGUGAAAUCCCGGGGCUUAACCCCGGGACUGCAUUUGGAACUGUGUGGCUGGAGUGUCGGAGAGGCAGGCGGAAUUCCUAGUGUAGCGGUGAAAUGCGUAGAUAUUAGGAGGAACACCAGUGGCGAAGGCGGCCUGCUGGACGAUGACUGACGUUGAGGCUCGAAAGCGUGGGGAGCAAACAGGAUUAGAUACCCGUACU